rnacentral:snRNA from 1 species
CUUUUUGUAAAUAAAAUUUUCUUACCAGUAUCUGUUCUUAUCAGCUUAAUAUCUGAUACGGGUCCUAUUUGGACCCAAGAUAUUAAUCUUAUUUUUGGAAUGCGGCGUAGUGCUUGAGGUUUACCUCACCUAUGCCACGGGUUGGCCUGGUAUUGCACUGCCUCCAGGAUCGGCCCACCCCCC